CCAAGUGGCUUGAGUGGGACACACCCAAAAUGUGACAGAAGAUUGGCUCCUUGAGGCUGAGGCAGAGCUAGUGACAGUCACAGUUGCACAGCUCAAUCAGACACCGGGCCAAGCCAGGAAUAGGGGAAUGACCUUUUGAACAGCUGAGGUUUCGGGGUACAGCAUCAAAUGACUGGUAGGAUAAGAAUGUGAGCCUUCUGAAGGCUGGGACCAGCUCUUGUUUUCAGUGCAGUGCCUUGAUAGUACUCCAUAAAUCUUUGCAGUUCUUAGUCGCGGUCAACCGGGCGUUCCUCCAGUCCCUGAACGGAAGUGGUGAAUUUCCGCUGCCACCUACCAGGUCGGAUCUUCAUCGUGUGCUGGGACCUGCGGCGCUGCAAAGGGAAGACUGAACCCUUGGGAUACACCUCCAAUCUGCUGUUGACUUCGGCCAAGUCACUAAGCAUCGCAGAGUCCAUUUCCUCCUCUGUAAAUCGGGGAACCGCCUGCCUCACAGGGAUACUGUAAAACCCAAAACUUCUUGCUAAUUGUGUAUAAUUGUUCUCAAUAUUUUUUCAACCUGGCUCCACUCUUUUUAUU